rnacentral:rRNA from 1 species
CAAAGCACUUUGAAGAGAGAGUUAAAGAGGACGUGAAACCGGUAAGGUGGAAACGGAUAGAGUCGGCGUAUCUUUCAAUUAUUCAGUUACAUUAUUUUUAUGUUGUGACCUCUGAGCUCCAGAUUGGGACAGAGGGAAUCAGCAUAAUUUUUUGUGGUGCAUUUACUUGAUUGGUGCUUGGGGAUGUUUGAGGCAGAUUUGUUUCCGUCGUUUUGAGGCCAGCUUGCUGGUACCCAAACGGUGUUAGCAUUUUUUGUCUUGGGCAUUUGAGUAUGGCUCACGUGUAUUUAUUGGACAGAUCUGAGUGUAAGUUACGGUCGCAUGCGACACGUGCUUUUCAAUUAGUUCGGUCCAGUUAAUGCUCUCGUACUCGUUCCCCAUGUAAAAGCCGGUCAUCUAUCCGACCCGUCUUGAAACACGGACCAAGGAGUUUAUCGUGUGCGCAAGUUUUUGGGUGUUAAAAACUUAAAAGCGAAAUGAAAGUAAAUGACUCUUUAGAGUCUGAUGUGCGAUCUUGUAAAAAAGUGUAGCAUGGCCCCAUUCUAACUGUUUACAGUAGGGUGGCGGAAGAGCGUACGCGGUGAGACCCGAAAGAUGGUGAACUAUUCCUGAGCAGGACGAAGCCAGAGGAAACUCUGGUGGAAGUCCGAAGCGGUUCUGACGUGCAAAUCGAUCGUCUGACUUGGGUAUAGGGGCGAAAGACUAAUCGAACCAUC